CCCUGGGUGGCAUAAACGGUUAAUGUGUUCGGCUGCUAACCGAAAGGUUGGAGGUUUCAGUCCAUCCAGAGGUG
rnacentral:tRNA from 1 species